CUUAUCUCUGCUAUAUAUAUAUAUAUAUAGACAUAUGAAAAGUCUCUCACUUUGAACUCAUCAAUUCCUCUUUUUUCACUACAUGUACGAGGCGGAGCCGUUUGAUUCUGCCAGCCAAUGAAGAUCAAAACAAAUCUCUUAAAUUGAGGAGCCUUGGUCCGAUCCAUCAGUUCGACUUCAACAACUCUCUCUGUCACCCUCAGCCACGCCAAGCAUGAUCCGAGAAUGAUGUCAAGAUAACCUAUGCUAUCUCCUCCAAAAUAAGCCUUUCCUUUGCUACAACUGAUAAAUGCCUCUUCAAGUAAGAUCAAACCUUCACACAAUUUCUGAGUAAGCGCUACUCUUUCCUCUUCGUCUUGUGACUGCCGAAGCACUUUGAUCAGUGGAUACCACUGUAAUAGUUGAAAGUUGAUUAGAAGCUGUUUGUUGAGUAAAUAUGGCAGUCAUUUUAAGUAUGUACCUUGUCAUCGAUGUAGGCUGCCCAGAAACGGGCUAAGGCGCGACCAUAGGCAUCAGAAGGGAGGAUGCACGGGCCGGUGGAAAAGGCAUCAGCAAUGUACUCCACAAUGAUGGAUGACUCACAAACAGACUUAUCUCCAUGGAUCAGAACUGGGAUUUUCUUGUGAACAGGGUUGCAUUUGAGCAGCAUAUCGCUUUUCUGUAGAGUAUUUUCUUCGAUGAACUCAUAAUCAAUCGACUUUAUGCACAA